GAUGAACGCUAGCGGCAGGCUUAACACAUGCAAGUCGAGGGGUAACAUGGUAGCUUGCUAUUGAUGACGACCGGCGCACGGGUGCGUAACGCGUAUACAAUCUGCCUUGUACAGAGGGAUAGCCCAGAGAAAUUUGGAUUAAGACCUCAUAAUGUUUAGAUGUGGCAUCAUGUUUAAAUUAAAGGUUACGGUACAAGAUGAGUAUGCGUCCUAUUAGCUAGUUGGUGUGGUAACGGCAUACCAAGGCUACGAUAGGUAGGGGUCCUGAGAGGGAGAUCCCCCACACUGGUACUGAGACACGGACCAGACUCCUACGGGAGGCAGCAGUGAGGAAUAUUGGACAAUGGGCGGAAGCCUGAUCCAGCCAUGCCGCGUGUAGGAAGACUGCCCUAUGGGUUGUAAACUACUUUUAUACAGGAAGAAUAUGAUCUACGAGUAGAUUUUUGACGGUACUGUAUGAAUAAGCACCGGCUAACUCCG
rnacentral:rRNA from 1 species